UGUUGCAGUUAAAAAGCUCGUAGCUGGAUCUCUGGUGCAGGCUCGCGGUUCCACUCGUGUGGACACUGCCCGUCCUGACCUACCUGUCGGUCUCCUCCCGGUGCCCUUAGCUGGGUGUCUCGAGUGGCCGGAACGUUUACUUUGAAAAAAUUAGAGUGUUCAAAGCAGGCAGCUCGCCUGAAUAAUGUUGCAUGGAAUAAUGGAAUAGGGCCUCGGUUCUAUUUUGUUGGCUUUCGGAACUCGAGGUAAUGAUUAAGAGGGACAGACGGGGGCAUUCGUAUUACGGUGUUAGAGGUGAAAUUCUUGGAUCGCCGUAAGACGAACUACUGCGAAAGCAUUUGCCAAGAAUGUUUUCAUUAAUCAAGAACGAAAGUCAGAGGUUCGAAGACGAUCAGAUACCGUCGUAGUUCUGACCAUAAACGAUGCCGACCAGCGAUCCGCCGACGUCGUUUCCAUGACUCGGCGGGCAGCUUCCGGGAAACCAAAGUUUUUGGGUUCCGGGGGAAGUAUGGUUGCAAAGCUGAAACUUAAAGGAAUUGACGGAAGGGCACCACCAGGAGUGGAGCCUGCGGCUUAAUUUGACUCAACGCGGGACGACCUACCCGGCCCGGACACCGUAAGGAUUGACAGAUCGAGAGCUCUUUCUUGAU
rnacentral:rRNA from 1 species